rnacentral:rRNA from 1 species
UACGGAGGGAGCUAGCGUUGUUCGGAAUUACUGGGCGUAAAGCGCGCGUAGGCGGCUUUGUAAGUUAGAGGUGAAAGCCCGGGGCUCAACCCCGGAAUUGCCUUUAAGACUGCAUCGCUUGAAUCCGGGAGAGGUGAGUGGAAUUCCGAGUGUAGAGGUGAAAUUCGUAGAUAUUCGGAAGAACACCAGUGGCGAAGGCGGCUUGCCAGAACGCACUCGACGGUGAGGGAUGAAAGCUGGGGGAGCAAACCGG